ACUUGUGGCGCACUGGAAGUACGUCACUUGUCGCAGUAAAACAACGUUUUCAACACGGGUUCCUGCAAGGAGAUAGAUUCAGUUCCUGCAUAAAUGACUGGUGGCAGCCUGCAUCACAUAGAAGAUGAACAGGGGUGACUGGGGAAACCCCGGCCAUGGCAGCCAUCCUCCAUAUGGAAGCUCUUCCCCCGUCAAUUUCUCACGGAAGGUGAUAAUUCUGACUAAAACUACAGAAUAAAGCAGCCAGUUAAAAUCAAGGAACGGUUGUGCUCGUGGUUACUGAAGGGAGCUACACUAUCAAUUUUGCCUAGAGUUGCAGAGAGGGCGUACACGUGUUUGCACUUGAGAAGGAACAGGCCAAGAUGGGUGGGAGGAUCUUCCUGGUCACCAGUUACAGUGAGCUAUGGCAUUACUACAGUAUGUGUGUGAGAAGCUGGAGGUGUAUGGGAUUGAACCUUGAAUCCAGUACAGAGGAAAAAUUCAGUUGCCAUCUCAUCAACAAACUAGAAUGGUCCAAACACACCAAGACAGUUGUGAAGAGGGCACGACAAAGCCUAUUCCCCCUCA